AAAAGCAUGGCUGUUGAUCUUUCCUAGUCCUUGGUUCUGCUUUCUCCCCGGGGCCUUACAGGAGGGUGUGGUCACAACUGAUAAAGACCUGAGCGUCCAGCCAGCCCACUCAGUACACACAAAGAAAGGCAUCCACCAGAGGGCUUGGUUCCCUGAAAAACUCAGGGACGAGAAAAGCAGCUAGAGAUGAUCACACCAAGGGAAGAAUGGAGAGCAGCCAGCAGCCAGCAAGAGCACAGAGGCCUCAGUCCUACAGCCGCAGGGAACUGGUUCUGCCAACAACCUAAAUAAACUUGGGAGCAAAUUCUUCCCCA